AUUGAACGCUGGCGGCAUGCUUUACACAUGCAAGUCGAACGGCAGCGGGGGCUUCGGCCUGCCGGCGAGUGGCGAACGGGUGAGUAAUGCAUCGGAACGUGCCCAUGUCGUGGGGGAUAACGUAGCGAAAGCUACGCUAAUACCGCAUACGCCCUGAGGGGGAAAGCGGGGGNUUCUUCGGAACCUCGCGCGAUUGGAGCGGCCGAUGUCGGAUUAGCUAGUAGGUGAGGUAAAGGCUCACCUAGGCGACGAUCCGUAGCGGGUCUGAGAGGAUGAUCCGCCACACUGGGACUGAGACACGGCCCAGACUCCUACGGGAGGCAGCAGUGGGGGAAUUUUUGGACAAUGGGCGCAAGCCUGAUCCAGCCAUGCCGCGUGAGGGAAG
rnacentral:rRNA from 1 species